rnacentral:rRNA from 1 species
GGCGGCAUGCCUUACACAUGCAAGUCGAACGGUAACAGGUCUUCGGAUGCUGACGAGUGGCGAACGGGUGAGUAAUACAUCGGAACGUGCCCGAUCGUGGGGGAUAACGAAGCGAAAGCUUUGCUAAUACCACAUAAGAUCUAAGGAUGAAAGCAGGGGACCGCAAGGCCUUGCGCGAACGGAGCGGCCGAUGGCAGAUUAGGUAGUUGGUGGGAUAAAAGCUUACCAAGCCGACGAUCUGUAGCUGGUCUGAGAGGACGACCAGCCACACUGGGACUGAGACACGGCCCAGACUCCUACGGGAGGCAGCAGUGGGGAAUUUUGGACAAUGGGCGAAAGCCUGAUCCAGCCAUGCCGCGUGCAGGAUGAAGGCCUUCGGGUUGUAAACUGCUUUUGUACGGAACGAAAAGACUCUUUCUAAUAAAGAGGGUCCAUGACGGUACCGUAAAAAUAAGCACCGGCUAACUACGUGCCAGCAGCCGCGGUAAUACGUAGGGUGCAAGCGUUAAUCGGAAUUACUGGGCGUAAAGCGUGCGCAGGCGGUUAUAUAAGACAGAUGUGAAAUCCCCGGGCUCAACCUGGGAACUGCAUUUGUGACUGUAUAGCUAGAGUACGGCAGAGGGGGAUGGAAUUCCGCGUGUAGCAGUGAAAUGCGUAGAUAUGCGGAGGAACACCGAUGGCGAAGGCAAUCCCCUGGGCCUGUACUGACGCUCAUGCACGAAAGCGUGGGGAGCAGACAGGAUUAGAUACCCUGGUAGUCCACGCCCUAAACGAUGUCAACUGGUUGUUGGGUCUUCACUGACUCAGUAACGAAGCUAACG